GAAAUGAACAGGUCAGAGGCACUCUUGUGUCAGUUUGAUGUGAUUUUUUGGACCCUGAACAGCCCGAUACAAAUUUUGGUGUAGCUGAUGAGCCUCCCCACUGGGAAAGCUUAGCAUUUCUGCAGACCGUGGUUGACACGCACAUAAAACAAUCUGCUGGUAACUCUGAAGCGCUGCCUCUCCACUUGAGCAUCCGGGGAGUGAUCUUUCGCUCCCCGAGUUUGGCGGCUGGCUCAGCGACAGUGCCAACAGUGCUGCUUGCAUCAAGAGGAGGCUCAAAAGUAUGCCGGUGCUUGGACAAAUUGUGCAGGUUUGGCAGCCACUACCCCAGUGAUACCUCGCAAUCCAGGGAGGAUGCAUCAGAAUUGAAUGAAUGAGGGCAUGAAUAGAGCAGGGGU
rnacentral:lncRNA from 1 species